CCACGUAGUGCAGCAAAACAGCCAUGUGAGGAGUAUAGCCAGUGAAAACACUAUGUGAGAGUUAGUGGAAUAAGAAAAAGAAGAAGAUGGAAUUAGUUUUAAAACCAACGCAACAGCUGCAGUGUGGGAGCACUUUGGAUUUAAACCAAAUGAGCGUGGGGAACCUGAGCCAGUCGGUCUGAUGGAUUGGUCCUAAAGGGUCAAUUUGCUGUGUUUUGGACUGGCUCAGCAAAACAUUGUACUGCACCUUCAUCAUCAAGUCAAGACAUUGGCAGCCCGGAAGCACUAGGGAAAGAUGAAAGCGUCCUGCUGUUGCUUAUCCCUUCCCAGCAUGGCAACUGCACUGAUCACAGGAGGAGGACACAGGUGGAGACCUGGAACAGUGUCAUCAUCAGUGCUCAAACAGAAAAGAAACAGUUUGGCCCAGGCUCCAGGAGCUGGAUUUAGCCAAGGUGGGAAAUGCCAGCCAAAUGCCUUUUUGCCCCUCUCACAAUAUCAGGGGCUGUUCUGCGGAUGGAGAGUAGGCUAAUAUUGAAUAGGCAGGCCAGACAAAUAAGAGCAAAGCGUACUUAGCCACCUGUGGACCAGCUGGAGAAAAGAUGGACAUAAGAUGGCAUGGCGUCCUCAGAGAUUCAGCCUGAUGAACAAAUUGAAUGAAAACAACAGAAGCACUGGACCUGCUGCCACACAGAAAAUUAUACAGCCUCUUUAUUUGAAUUUCUAAUGAAUGGUUGUGCCACAGUACUUGGAAAUAUCUGCGACUUGAUGAACAGUGUGUGCUAAGUUGCUUAUAUUGUAUUCGUUAAAAUAAAUCUGACCGUUAUUGUUUGUCACUUGGAGAUUGAACCACGACUAUGUGUCUAACAAGUAGUGCUAAGUCGGUCGCUUGCAUCAAGUUUUUUGUUUAAGCUCAUUUAUUAAU